rnacentral:lncRNA from 1 species
AUAUAUUCCCCCUUAAAUGUAUACAAAGAAAAAAAGCACUGUAAAAUACUAUAAAAUGUUAUCGUGACACAUAAACUUUCAGAAUCAUUCAAUAAUAAGCAACAAUAAAAUAAAAUAAACCUUUAAAACUUAAUCAGCCAAUCUUGAGGGUCCUCUCUUUGGCUCUUCUCAUUUGCUUGCUCUGAUAAAUCAAGUUGAUAUGAUAUGAGUUGCUUCAUGGAGAGGGCAGAAGGUAUAGGACUGAAUCCUGCCAUAAAAUUAUGUAAAGGAGCUUGGAUACAGACCCUUCCCUACUGGAGCCUUGAGAUGAGACCAUAGCUCCAGCCAACUCCAUGACUGCAGCCCUCUGACAGAUCCUAAGUCAAAAGAUCCUGCUGAACCACAUCCAUACACUUGACCUACACAAGCCAUGAGAUAGUAAAUGUUGUGGGUUCAAGUCACCACAUUUUGGGAUGAUUUGUUAUGCAGCGAUAGAUAUCUAAUACAAUCUCUAUCUUUAUAUUAUUCAGGAAGUCAUUAAAGAAGCAACCCAUGGCAAAACUAGUUAUUUUCUUAAAACAGUAGGAAGAAGAAAAGCUUUUUGAAUGAAUCACUUCUCAUCUUCUCCGAAGUUGGAAGCAUCAAGAAUCUAAAUAAGCAUUUAUGAUGGCUGGCAUGAAUAUGUGAGUAAACUCCAGCCAACUCCAUGACUGCAGCCCUCUGACAGAUCCUAAGUCAAAAGAUCCUGCUGAACCACAUCCAUACACUUGACCUACACAAGCCAUGAGAUAGUAAAUGUUGUGGGUUCAAGUCACCACAUUUUGGGAUGAUUUGUUAUGCAGCGAUAGAUAUCUAAUACAAUCUCUAUCUUUAUAUUAUUCAGGAAGUCAUUAAAGAAGCAACCCAUGGCAAAACUAGUUAUUUUCUUAAAACAGUAGGAAGAAGAAAAGCUUUUUGAAUGAAUCACUUCUCAUCUUCUCCGAAGUUGGAAGCAUCAAGAAUCUAAAUAAGCAUUUAUGAUGGCUGGCAUGAAUAUGUGAGUAAAUACCUGAAAAACUGGCCAGAAGUGUUUUUUUUUUUUAAUGAGAUUAAUCUCGCUUUGAUGGAAUUUCAUUCAGAUUAUCAAAAGAAAAUGAAAUAUUUUUAGCAAAGUAGAUGACUGGGAAGAAUUAGGAGAGUAAAUGGGGAAAGUGCUCUGUAUUAGCAGAUCUGCCUGGGACAGGCCUCCUAAGCAGGGUUUCCUCUUCAGCUUCCAUCCUUUUUUUUGGUUUGGUUUGGUUUGAUUUAGUUUUUAUUUUGCUUUUUGCUCUUUACUUCUGAAAACACAUUAUUUUUCAAGAGGAUAUAUUAGAUUUCUUUCUUUCUUUCUUUCUUUCUUUCUUUUGAGACGGGACUGUAGGCACAUGCCACCACGCACGUCCGGCUAAUUUUUUGUAUUUUUAGUAGAGACGGGUUUCGCCGUGUUAGCCAGGAUGGUCUCGGUCUCCUGACCUCGUGAUCUAACUGCUCCGGCCUCCCAAAGUCCUGGGAUUACAGGCAUGAGCUGCCGCGCCCGGCCCAUCAGUUUUCUUUGUAUAGCUCUGAACACUAUAACAACCAGGAGUCCCUCUGAUUGAAGAUGUGAGUGUGCUUGCGUGUUAGCUUAGUGGUGUCUGUAUUGGGGUGUUGGUAUGGGAAGUUCCUAAAGCAAGCAUGAUAGCUACAAUGUAAAAGGCACACUGUUGUUAUAUAUUUUCUCAGUGAGGUGAAAAUGUGCAUUCUUCUAUUUCCUUUCCCAUGUAACAUUAUGUGCCACUGAAAUACCCAUUAACAGUUGCUAUAGGUUUA